rnacentral:rRNA from 1 species
UGCAGUCGAACGGUAGUCCUUCGGGAUGAGAGUGGCGAACGGGUGAGUAAUAUAUCGGAACAUGUCCGUAAGUGGGGGAUAACGUAGAGAAAUUUACGCUAAUACCGCAUAUUCCCUGAGGGGGAAAGGAGGGGAUCGCAAGACCUUUCGCUAACGGAGUGGCCGAUAUCGGAUUAGCUAGUAGGUGAGGUAAAGGCUCACCUAGGCGACGAUCCGUAGCGGGUCUGAGAGGAUGAUCCGCCACACUGGAACUGAGACACGGUCCAGACUCCUACGGGAGGCAGCAGUGGGGAAUUUUGGACAAUGGGCGCAAGCCUGAUCCAGCCAUACCGCGUGAGUGAAGAAGGCCUUCGGGUUGUAAAGCUCUUUCAGCCGGAAAGAAAUCCUGCUUACUAAUACUAAGUGGGGAUGACGGUACCGGAAGAAGAAGCACCGGCUAACUACGUGCCAGCAGCCGCGGUAAUACGUAGGGUGCGAGCGUUAAUCGGAAUUACUGGGCGUAAAGCGUGCGCAGGCGGCAUGAUAAGCCAGAUGUGAAAUCCCCGGGCUUAACCUGGGAACUGCAUUUGGAACUGUCAAGCUAGAGUAUAGCAGAGGGGGGUAGAAUUCCACGUGUAGCAGUGAAAUGCGUAGAGAUGUGGAGGAAUACCGAUGGCGAAGGCAGCCCCCUGGGUUAAUACUGACGCUCAUGCACGAAAGCGUGGGGAGCAAACAGGAUUAGAUACCCUGGUAGUCCACGCCCUAAACGAUGUCAACUAGGUGUUGGGGAAGGAGACUUCUUUAGUACCGCAGCUAACGCGUGAA